rnacentral:rRNA from 1 species
ACAGACCUACGGGACGCAGCAGUGGGGAAUAUUGCGCAAUGGACGAAAGUCUGGCGCAGCGACGCCGCGUGAGGGAUGAAGGUUUUCGGAUCGUAAACCUCUGUCAGGAGGGAAGAAAGCGCAUGGUGCCAAUCAGCCAUGCGUUGACGGUACCUCCGAAGGAAGCGCCGGCUAACUCCGUGCCAGCAGCCGCGGUAAUACGGAGGGCGCGAGCGUUAAUCGGAAUUACUGGGCGUAAAGCGCGCGUAGGCUGUUGUGUAAGUUGGGGGUGAAAUCCCACGGCUCAACCGUGGAACAGCCC